AGAAACGGAUUCAAACAAGCGAUGAAGCAGUGACAUCAUCAUCUCCUCUGCUGUGUCCGGACAGCCCGUCGUUUUCACAGGAAGUGCUGAAUCUACGGAACGGCGCCCUCUGACGGUGACGCCACCACCUGACCUUUCACCUCUGCAGCUUCAGUGCAGAGCUGCAUCCCAGCUGACAUCGCUGCCCUCACAUCUGUCUAUAGGUGUCAUGAUGCAACUUCCUGAAAGCUGACGGGCGCCGCCGCGGCUUUCACGUGAUUGCAUCAGAACACAACAGUGAAGUUUAAAAGGCUGUAAAAGUCAACAACACAAACGCACAACAGGAGCAGAGCGCGACACUGAAGGUCCGUUUGGAGACGAAGAACCAAAACAUUCACAAAAUCUGACUCAGAAUUGAAGUAGUGCACACACACUGACACUGAGAUACACACUCACACACACAUACUGACACUCACACACACACUGAGAUACACACACACUGACACACACUGACACACACUGACACUGAGAUACACUGAGAUACACACAGACACACACACACACUGACACUGACACACACUGAGAUACACACUGACACACACACUGAGAUACACACACACUGAGAUAGAAGUCAUGUAAACUUAAAGAGCCUUCACUGGGAUGUUGGUCCCUUGUGACGUCAUUAGCGGGUCAUCUGGCUGAAGCUAACGAGAAAACGGAGCUUCAGCAGAAAACGCUUCCGUGAACCGGAAACUUCCUACCGAUCUGAAGAUCCGUUAGUUUAUGAAGCACCCCGAUGUGAGAACGAGUCCAGAAACCUUUGAUGUUUCUUUGUUCAGACUGUUACAUUUUCCGAUCAUUUCUUUUCACUUCCGGUGACGUCACUGUCUUUGUGUUUUUCGCUGCUGUCAAACUUUAGAUGAAAUGAAACCAACUUUCCCGCUGCUCGCUACAUUUAUGAAACAUUCGAAACGUUUCUAACUCACCUUCACCGGAAACCGAGGCCGCUUAGUUUCGGACCGGGACCGGGAGCCUCCGGAGUCAGCUCCGGUUCUUGGAUCAAAAACGGGUCAAACUUUUUCCUCCUCGAGUUUCCGGUAAGAGACGGCGGCUCCGCGCGCACCCGCGUGCAGGUCGGUCUCCCGCUGCUUUCCCGAAGCUCCACUCGGUCAGGCUCCGGUCUCAGAGUUCGGGACUGCCGCGGCUCCGCUUGGUCACUUUGUUCCCCGCGUGGUGUCGUCAUGCAGUGGGCGGGGCCUUGGUGUUGCAAUGAAAAUCAAAGUAGAAAAUACGUCAUCAGGUUCAUCAGACACAAGAACCAAUCAGAUCCUUCACCUACAGAACAGAAACUGUGGGGGGUACGGUUGGAGGUGGGGGGGACUGUGGGGGGUAUGGUUGGUGUGCAUGCUUGCUUCCAGCUUUUCUGA
rnacentral:lncRNA from 1 species